UUGCCAGACUCCUACGGGAGGCAGCAGUGGGGAAUAUUGCACAAUGGGGGAAACCCUGAUGCAGCGACGCCGCGUGAGUGAAGAAGUAAUUCGUUCUGUAAAGCUCUAUCAGCAGGGAAGAAAAUGACGGUACCUGAGUAAGAAGCCCCGGCUAACUACGUGCCAGCAGCCGCGGUAAUACGUAGGGGGCAAGCGUUAUCCGGAUUUAUUGGGUUUAAAGGGUGCGUAGGCGGUAUUUUAAGUUAGUGGUAAAACGUCGGGGCUUCACCUUGAUUGGCCAUUAAAACUGGAGUACUAGAGUACAGACGAGGUAGGCGGAAUAAGUUAAGUAGCGGUGAAAUGCUUAGAUAUAACUUAGAACCCCGAUAGCGAAGGCAGCUUGCCAGACUGUUACUGACGCUGAAGCACGAGAGCGUGGGUAGCGAACAGGAU
rnacentral:rRNA from 1 species